CCUGGGUGUGGUAGUGUACACCUGUAGUCCUAGCUACCUGGGAAGCUUUGGGAGGUGGAUUGCUUCAGGCAAUGAGUUCCUGACUAUAGUGCACACUAUGCUGUUUGGGUGUCUGCACUAGGGUCAGCAUCAAUAUAGUGACUUCCCAGGAGCAGUGGACCACCAGAUUGUCUAAGGAGGGGUGAACCUACCCAGAUAAAAAAUGGAGCUGGUCAACACUCCCAAGCAGUUCAGUAAGUAGGAUGGCAUCUGUGAAUGGACACAAAUCCAUCCUGAACAGCACAGAGAGACUCCAUCUCU
rnacentral:SRP_RNA from 1 species